rnacentral:rRNA from 1 species
UAGGGAAUCUUCGGCAAUGGGGGCAACCCUGACCGAGCAACGCCGCGUGAGUGAAGAAGGUUUUCGGAUCGUAAAGCUCUGUUGUAAGUCAAGAACGAGUGUGAGAGUGGAAAGUUCACACUGUGACGGUAGCUUACCAGAAAGGGACGGCUAACUACGUGCCAGCAGCCGCGGUAAUACGUAGGUCCCGAGCGUUGUCCGGAUUUAUUGGGCGUAAAGCGAGCGCAGGCGGUUUGAUAAGUCUGAAGUUAAAGGCUGUGGCUCAACCAUAGUUCGCUUUGGAAACUGUCAAACUUGAGUGCAGAAGGGGAGAGUGGAAUUCCAUGUGUAGCGGUGAAAUGCGUAGAUAUAUGGAGGAACACCGGUGGCGAAAGCGGCUCUCUGGUCUGUAACUGACGCUGAGGCUCGAAAGCGUGGGGAGCGAACAGGAUUAGAUACCCUGGUAGUCCACGCCGUAAACGAUGAGUGCUAGGUGUUGGAUCCUUUCCGGGAUUCAGUGCCGCAGCCAACGCAUUAAGCACUCCGCCUGGGGAGUACGACCGGCAAGGUUG